rnacentral:lncRNA from 1 species
CUCACAGGGCGUCCUGUGGGAAUUGCUGGUCUAAAAGAAGCCAGUGGAGAAACGCCUGGCUUCGUCCCGACCUCUGCGCUAAACAAGAGGAAGUGGUCGCCCUCGCGCAAGUUUUCCAGAAUUUCAGCGGAAGAGCACUGCUGUCAAGUCUGCUCACAGAAUGUUUUCUAAUUCGAAAAUAACGGCAUGACCCUGUAAUUUUGGGCAACAGACUCCAGAGAACAAAGUAAUUUAGAAAAAUACAGAAUGUGAAGUGAUCCAGGGCAGGUCGCCUGGCUACAAGAAGAGAUGACAGACAGAACAAGCUCACGAUCAAAUGCUAGUCAAGGGAUGUGCUGGGAAAGGAGCGG